UUCACGUGCUCCCGGACAAAACGAAACGUGAGCGGCGGGCUGACGUUUUAUGAGCCACGAGUGAACGGUGAUGAUGAUGGUGAUGAUGAUGAUGAUGACUGUGAAGGCGGCGCUGAAACAAGACAAACAGAAGAGGGUUGGUGGUUUAAAAAAGGAAACGGGCCCAAAAGAACCGUCCAGCAGAAGCGGAACCAGCUGAAGGAGACAAACAGAAAAUCAGUGGAACAUCCCUGACAGGACAAAACCAAGACCGUGAUGGAUGAGAAAGAGGAAGGGGGUUCUGAUCCAGCAGCCUCAGCAUCACCAGGCGGGUCAGGACCUGCAGCACAGACAGUCCUCCAUCACAUCCUCUGAUCUGGAGGAAAACACAUUUAGAGGGAGCUGCAUGUCCAGAAGAAAUGGAAAUCCUGCAAUAUCUGGAAAAGUUCAAGAUUUGAAGGACCAAAAGUCAAAGCUGGAAAGAGCUGAACAUUUGAAAGGUUGAAAUAGAAAAAAAAUUGUAGGAGUUAAAAGACAAAAAACGGAGGAAGAUAAUAAAGACAGAGAAACAGGAAAACGAUGAUUGAAUACUUUAUUCUUAUAGAACUCUCCAUCAGUGCUUCAGAGUCAGAUCUGAUGCAAUAAAACUACACAGAUGAA